ACGAACGCUGGCGGCGUGCCUAACACAUGCAAGUCGAACGAGGCCGCUCUUUCGGCGAGCGAGUCGAGGUGGCGGACGGGUAGGUAACACGUGAGCAAUCUACCCUUGUGCGGGGGAUAACCCGGGGGAAAACCCGGGCUAAUAACCGCAUGGUCAGGAGGAUCGAUGGUCUUCCUGGGAAAUGUGGCCUCUUUACAAUGCCUACAGCGCAGGGAGGAGCUCGCGGGCUAUCAGCUAGUUGGUAGUAGGUAACGGCUCACCAAGGCAGCGACGCGCUACGGGGCUCUGAGAGGACGACCCCGCACAUUUGGAACUGAGACACGGUCCAGACUCCUACGGGAGGGCAGCAGUGGGGAAUUUUGGGCAAUGGCCGAAAGGCUGACCCAGCGACGCCGCGCUGCGGGAGGAAGCCCUUCGGGGGUGUAAACCGCUGUCGGGGGGGGACGAAAGCGGACGGGGUAAAAAAUCUCGUCCAGUGACGGUACCCUCAAAGGAAGCACCGGCUAACUCUGUGCCAGCAGCCGCGGUAAUACAGAGGGUCGCAAGCGUUUGUCUCGGAAUUACUGGGCGUAAAGCGCCGCGCCAGGCGGAUCCUGUAAGUCGGAAGGAAAUCUCCGGCUGCUCAACGGCGAGGCGGCUUCUGAUACUGCGGAUCUGGAGACCGGUAGAGGGCUGGUGGUGAAUUGCAGGUGUAGGCGGUGGAAUGCGGUAGAGAUCUGCAAGAACACCCCCGUGGCGAAGGCGGCCAGCUGGGCCGGUUCUGACGCUGAGGCGCGAAAGCGUGGGGAGCAAAACAGGAUUAGAUACCCUGGUAGUCCACGCCGUAACGAUGGGCACUAGGUGCUGGGGGGAGCGGACCCCUUCAGUGGCGCGCAGCUAACCGCGAUAAAGUGCCCCGCCUGGGGAGUACGGCCGCAAGGCUGAAACUCAAUGAAUUGACGGGGGCCCGCACAAGCGGUGGAGCAUGUGGUUUAAUUUCGAAGCAACGCGAAGAACCUUACCUAGGUUUGACAUGCUAGUGAAAAGCUUCUGGAAACAGGGGCCCUUCUUCGGAACACUAGCACAGGUGCUGCAUGGCUGUCGUCAGCUCGUGUCGUGAGAUGUUGGGUUAAGUCCCGCAACGAGCGCAACCCUUGCCCCGUGUUACUAACAGGUCUGCUGAGGACUCUCGGUGGACUGCCGGCCGUCAAGCCGGAGGAAGGUGGGGACGACGUCAAGUCCUCAUGGCCCUUUAUGACUAGGGCUGCACACGUCCUACAAUGGCGCGCACAAAGCGACGCAAACUCGCAAGAGCCAGCAAAUCGCAAAAAUCGCGCCCCAGUUCGGAUUGCAGGCUGCAACCCGCCUGCAUGAAGCCGGAAUCGCUAGUAAUCGCGGGUCAGCAUACCGCGGUGAAUGUGUCCCCCUGAGCCUUGUAACAACACCGCCCGUCAAGCCACGAAAGUGGGGGGGCGCCCAACAGUCCUGUCGUAACCGCAAGGAACAAGGGACCUAAGGCGAACUCCGUGAUUGGGGAC
rnacentral:rRNA from 1 species